CUCUCUCUCUCUCUCUGUGCGUGUCUGUGUGUGUGAGGUCGCAGCAGCAGAUCUGGGUUCAUGCAUUAGAAAAAGUGGUCUCAUAGGCAAUCAUUCCUUCAGGAUCCCGGUCCCCCGAGUCAUGGGGGUUUUGUCUGCUUGUUUCUGAGGUUCUUUGACAUGUUCUAUUGCUAGGAGGCUUUAACAUGCCUCCUAAAGUCAGAUGUAAUCUUGCCAAGCCCUAGCUACAUCAUGUAUUUGCUAGUCUACUUUACCAGAAGCGAGAGAGAGAGAGAGAGAGAGAGGAUCUUUAAUCUGAUAGCAGAGUUACAUGACCCAUGUGUGCGUGCAUUCUUUCGCCCAAAUACUCCAAUGGCAGAAGAGACGACUGGCAUUGCUAGCAAGAUUUCAGACAAUUUGGACCACAAAAAGCUAGUCAAUUGCCUUGAAGUACUUGUGACACUCGUUCGGUGAGGCAAUAAUUGAUUCCAUCUAUCUUCUGAUUUCAUCUUGUCCCAAACGUCUAAUAUACCAACUUAUCAUGCGCAUGGUCAUGAGUUAAGCACUUGGUGGUGUUUUGAUCAAUACCUUACUAGUCGUGCUUAAUUAAACUUAUUCUGUUUUAUAGCAUGUAAUUUCAACUUUAUUCAGAAUAUUUCGUCUACGAUGAGGCUUUUGUUCCAAGUGAUAUUACCGUUAGUCUGCUAAAAGCUGGCUUUUAUCUGACAGUGUUAAUUACAAUUACAUCACCUUUGUUUACACUCUUUGGUCCAAAUUUAUUCCACUGGCAGCAAUUAAAUAUUGCAGUUCUAUAAGCAGAAUUAAGAGCCUCUGACAUUGGUAGAUUGUUUUCAGAAUUUGGACCACCAACAGUUGUUAGACACAAAUACUAGCUAGGGGAUACUUAUGGUGCGGCAAUGGAUUCCAUUAAUGCACUGAUGAACCUUACAAGACGCCUGAUCAUACUGAUUGCCCGUAGCUACUAUAUAUUUUACCAGUCAUUCUUAGUCAAAUUUAUGUUUUCUACUGUCUAUGAAAUUCCCAUUGGUGUUAUGAAAUCACCUGAUCAUAUAUACUAUAUAUCUGUAAGAAACUAUUCAAAAAAUUUCAUCUAUCUGAUUUUUUCGGCAUUAUUUUGUUGUCAGCUAUAUGAAUUACUUCUUAAAUACUUUGCAGAAGCAGAAACCAAGCCACCUAUCACUACAAUAUUUGUGCCAAAGCUCAAGUGAGGUUAAAAAUCUUGUUGGAAAAAGCCAUUAUCAGUCCUUUAUAUUCUGCAUUCUGAUAUGCAUGAUAUUGUAGUUAUAUUAUUGCAACUGAGAUUCUUGCUUGAAAUAUUUUUUUCAUAACAAUGUAAAGGAUGGAGAGAACCUAUCCACAAUUAAUUGUUUGAAGCAUAACAUAGUUUAAGGAUUGAUCCAUGCAGCAGAAGUUUGGAAAUAAGCUCUUAAGCUCUCAUCUUGGAGAAAAAAUUUGGAAUGAAGCCCAUAUUAUUUAUAUAUCCAACCUGAGCUGCUUCAUGACCAAAUCAACAGCAUAUACACUGGUCUGGAAGAGUGGGUUUGUGCGUGCACGUAUACGUGUUUGGUUGAGAGAUUAUAAUAACCUUGUGGUUUUGUGGCAAAUAUGACCUCCAUAAUUCCCAUCCAGUGGAUAUUGUUCCUGGAAAGUUUGGAAUAUAAAGGUGCUAUAAACGAUUUAUAUUGCUCCAAAAACUUUGUAGAUACAUGGGCUUCUCUGUUCCACAGUGGUGGACUGCUCGAUUUAAAGACCGACCCGGCCUGGCCUGGAACGGCUGAACGGGCUUUGACCGCUCCCUACGAUGGGCCGCUUCUUAGUUGUGGCAGGCCCACAUUUCGGAAGCAUUAGAUUCCUUGAUGAGAGUAUCGUGGAUUCGGGAGAUGAUAGCAUGGAGCAAAUUGUCGGAUAUGUGAGUACCAUUAGAGAAGUUAAUAUACAGCAAUCCUGGGAAAAAUUACAGCCUUAGAAAUCCCAUGGCAGGCUUGGACUCCCACCACGUUUUUCUUUUUUUUUGUAACACCCAAGCCUUGUGGGCCGGCCCAAAUAGGCCAGUCCCAGGGCAAGUCGUGCUUGUGUCACGAUGCAUAGAAGAGACCCUGAUUGGAGUCUCCUUCUUAUGCUCCGGCAUUUCCGACUAGGAGCCGGAGUCCUAGGGCCAUCGGGACCCUAGGAUUCCUCUAUAAAUGGACACCUCUCUUCCUCCAAAGUCUUCACCCCGAGCGAUCUCCCUUCCUCUCUCACUCUUCUUCUUUUUUUAUUGACCUUGCAGUUGUUGGUUAUUGUGUGCACUGGAAAAUUGGGGCUUCUAGACACUGCUGGGGCCAAGGAUCACCUUGGCCUUCUAUAGUGUAGCCUGACUCUUAUUCUUGAGUUGGCUUAUUUGAUUAUUCAGAUGCAAUUAAUCCGAGCACCCAGAUGUUACUACCUAGUUGAUCCCAGUAGAGGGUCCUGGACCAGUGUCGCUGCAACCAUAUGUCGCAUUAGCCUUACCCCAGCCAUUGCAGAGCACCAUUGGACUCUAUCAUCAUUAGUUUUUAUUGUCUUAUUUAUACCAUGGUUUAAUUCUUGUUUUAUGAGUUGACUAAUUUGAUUGGCCAGAACGGAUCGACCUGGAUCAUUGGACACUGCUACGUAGUCGACAGUGUCCAUCCUACACUCGACUAUUGUCAGUUACCAUUGGACCUAUAAUUGAUAACACCUGAUCUAUUAUAUUUUUCUUGAUUGGAUACCUGUUUUUUUGAUCAGAUGGAUUGAGUUACGCUAUACCAACUGAUUCAAAUAAUUGGGCAAUGUUAUCUGAUUGAUCUCGUAUAUCUUUCUAUAUAAAUUUAUUUUCAUAGUCUGUCCUGAUUUUAUAUGGAAUUGCAGCCAUCCAGGCAGAAAGAAAUCCAACGAGAUAUUAUACUCGAGUUUCUAAAUUGAGAAUUGCAGAUUACAUAGUGCUUGGCUAUGAUUGAGAUCACAAGUAAAAUGGAUGCAUAGAUAGAAUAUCACUGAUACUGGUUGGAUUAUUAAAUUCUGUAAUUGGGUCAGUUUUGUCAUUCGUUAUGAAUUGAGAACAUUAUUGUUCAGUGAUUUUGAGGUUAUGAUAAAUUUUUAGGCUUAGCAUAUUCUUUAGGACAUCGCCCUAAGGAGUGUGCAGCUAUGUUGUGGGGCUGGAUCUGGGUGUUGGGUUUGGGUCGUGAUAUUUUAUACAGUUGUUUGGCAUCUCAGCAGCAUGUAACAUGUCAUUCCUAAGGACCAGUUGUUUCGAUGUGGUGGUUCCAUGGUGUUCGCAGGCAGGUUCUUCACAAACCAGCCAUUUGUCACCCUUUACAGGUCCAGUCUAUUGGUGAUGCCAGCGCGAGAUGUUUGAGGACCAACCGCUACUUUGCCUCCUAUUUUGCCCUCUCACUUGGUAGUUUUUUUGAUCUGUUUAUAUUUGGACAUUACAGCGAUAGCGUGUGGUGGAUUCCACAUUCUAUAUUUCACAAUAAGAAGGAAGACUCUAUGAUUAUGUUCUUUGUAAGAUCGUGCUUUAAAUCUGGGGAUUGAAGGAAGACUAAAUGGACAGUAAAAUGCAUCAAAUGUCACUGUGUGGAGUACAUGCUAAUGUGAAAUAAAGAAUGCGAGUGGCUCUACCAUGAUCUAAAUUUUGGGAUGUCGAUUUUUUUAGCCAGAAUGGAGAACUUAGGCUGGUUGGAAAGGGACUGCAUAGAUUGUUCCAUGCAUCAGACAAACUUUAUGUACCUACAAAUUUUGACAUGAGAAAAAGAAUGCAGAGUAAUAAUAUCUCCUCAUGAUCUAAAUUUUACCAUGAGAAGAAGCACGUA